AGUAAAACAGUACGUGAAAUUGUUGAAAGGGAAACGAUUGAAGUCAGUCAUGCCGGCGUUGGAUUCAGCUUGCUUCGCGGAGCUUGCGCAUUUCCUCGCAUGGCAGGUCAGCGUCAGUUUUGCGCGGCGUGAAAAGGCUCGGGUAAGGUAGCUCUCUUCGGGGAGUGUUAUAGACCUGGGCAAAUGCGCAGCGCGGGACUGAGGAUUGCAGCGGACACCUCUUCGGAGGCGCGGCGACCGAACCCUGCUCGGCCACCCUCGUUCGAUAGCGUGCUAACGGACGCGGGAGCGGCGGUGCACCGGAACAGGCAAGCCAGCGGUUCGCUUAGGAUGCUGACGUAAUGGCUUUAAA
rnacentral:misc_RNA from 1 species